rnacentral:rRNA from 1 species
GACGAACGCUGGCGGCGUGCUUAACACAUGCAAGUCGAACGGAAAGGCCCUGCUUUUGUGGGGUGCUCGAGUGGCGAACGGGUGAGUAACACGUGAGUAACCUGCCCUUGACUUUGGGAUAACUUCAGGAAACUGGGGCUAAUACCGGAUAGGAGCUCCUGCUGCAUGGUGGGGGUUGGAAAGUUUCGGCGGUUGGGGAUGGACUCGCGGCUUAUCAGCUUGUUGGUGGGGUAGUGGCUUACCAAGGCUUUGACGGGUAGCCGGCCUGAGAGGGUGACCGGCCACAUUGGGACUGAGAGACGGCCCAGACUCCUACGGGAGGCAGCAGUGGGGAAUAUUGCACAAUGGGCGGAAGCCUGAUGCAGCAACGCCGCGUGCGGGAUGACGGCCUUCGGGUUGUAAACCGCUUGCGCCUGUGACGAAGCGUGAGUGACGGUAAUGGGUAAAGAAGCACCGGCUAACUACGUG